rnacentral:rRNA from 1 species
UUGGAGGGCAGUCUGGUGCCAGCAGCCGCGGUAAUUCCAGCUCCAAUAGCGUAUAUUAAAGUUGUUGCAGUUAAAAAGCUCGUAGUUGAAUUUCGGGAUUAGUACGUUGGUCGUGCCUUCGGUACGUACUGGUGUUACUGAUUUCUACCUUCUGACGAACCAUCAUGUCAUUAAUUUGGUGUGGCGGGGAAUCAGGACUGUUGCUUUGAAAAAAUUAGAGUGUUUAAAGCAGGCUCGCGCUUGAAUACAUUAGCAUGGAAUAAUGAAUAGGACGUUGAUCCUAUUUUGUUGGUUUCUAGGAUUGACGUAAUGAUUAAUAGGGAUAGUUGGGGGCAUUAGUAUUCAAUUGUCAGAGGUGAAAUUCUUGGAUUUAUUGAAGACUAACUACUGCGAAAGCAUUUGCCAAGGAUGUUUUCAUUAAUCAAGAACGAAAGUUAGGGGAUCGAAGACGAUCAGAUACCGUCGUAGUCUUAACCAUAAACUAUGCCGACUAGGGAUCGGAUGAUGUUAUUUUUAAUGACUCAUUCGGCGCCUUACGGGAAAC